rnacentral:rRNA from 1 species
UGGGGAAUAUUGGGCAAUGGGCGAAAGCCUGACCCAGCGACGCCGCGUGGGUGAUGAAGGCCUUCGGGUCGUAAAGCCCUGUCAGGAGGAAAGAACGAUCUUGUGGUAAACACCCACGAGAUGUGACGGUACCUCCGAAGGAAGCACCGGCCAAUUCCGUGCCAGCAGCCGCGGUAAGACGGAAGGUGCAAGCGUUGCUCGGAAUCACUGGGCGUAAAGGGUGCGUAGGCGGCUUCUUAAGUCUGGUGUGAAAGCCCAGGGCUCAGCUCUGGAAGUGCACUAGAUACUGGGGAGCUUGAGUACCGGAGGGGAGAGUGGAAUUCCUGGUGUAGCGGUGAAAUGCGUAGAUAUCAGGAGGAACACCAGUGGCGAAGGCGGCUUCCUGGACCGAUACUGACGCUGAGGCGCGAAAGCUAGGGGAGCAAACGGGAUUAGAUACCCCUGUAGUCCCUGAGCGGGCUGGCAAGGCGCAU